GAUGAACGCUGGCGGCGUGCCUAAUACAUGCAAGUCGAGCGAACAGACGAGGAGCUUGCUCCUCUGACGUUAGCGGCGGACGGGUGAGUAACACGUGGAUAACCUACCUAUAAGACUGGGAUAACUUCGGGAAACCGGAGCUAAUACCGGAUAAUAUAUUGAACCGCAGGGUUCAAUAGUGAAAGACGGUUUUGCUGUCACUUAUAGAUGGAUCCGCGCCGCAUUAGCUAGUUGGUAAGGUAACGGCUUACCAAGGCAACGAUGCGUAGCCGACCUGAGAGGGUGAUCGGCCACACUGGAACUGAGACACGGUCCAGACUCCUACGGGAGGCAGCAGUAGGGAAUCUUCCGCAAUGGGCGAAAGCCUGACGGAGCAACGCCGCGUGAGGGAUGAAGGUCUUCGGAUCGUAAAACUCUGUUAUUAGGGAAGAACAAAUGUGUAAGUAACUAUGCACGUCUUGACGGUACCUAAUCAGAAAGCCACGGCUAACUACGUG
rnacentral:rRNA from 1 species